rnacentral:rRNA from 1 species
CCUACGGGAGGCAGCAGUGGGGAAUUUUGGACAAUGGGCGCAAGCCUGAUCCAGCAAUGCCGCGUGAGUGAAGAAGGCCUUCGGGUUGUAAAGCUCUUUUGUCAGGGAAGGAACGGUGCGGGCUAAUAUCCUGUGCUAAUGACGGUACCUGAAGAAUAAGCACCGGCUAACUACGUGCCAGCAGCCGCGGUAAUACGUAGGGUGCAAGCGUUAAUCGGAAUUACUGGGCGUAAAGCGUGCGCAGGCGGUUUUGUAAGUCUGUCGUGAAAUCCCCGGGCUCAACCUGGGAAUUGCGAUGGAGACUGCAAGGCUAGAAUCUGGCAGAGGGGGGUAGAAUUCCACGUGUAGCAGUGAAAUGCGUAGAGAUGUGGAGGAACACCGAUGGCGAAGGCAGCCCCCUGGGUCAAGAUUGACGCUCAUGCACGAAAGCGUGGGGAGCAAACAGGAUUAGAUACCCUGGUAGUCCACGCCCUAAACGAUGUCUACUAGUUGUCGGGUUUUAAUUAACUUGGUAACGCAGCUAACGCGUGAAGUAGACCGCCUGGGGAGUACGGUCGCAAGAUUAAAACCNCAAAUGAAGUUGACCGGCUGAGACGUGACGACGGACGACGACGAGGGAGGAGG